AGUUCUUCCCAGCUUCAUUUGCGGCUGCCCAGGGAAUAAUUCCAGGGAUAUAGUAAUGUCUGGUGUCUGGACGGUCUCCAUGGGAUUAAAAAAGUAGCUGGUUUGCAUUUCGGAGACAAAACAACCCUGCAGCACGGAGUCAAACACUGCUUCUUCGCGGGAGAUGCGUCCUGUCAGGUGAACACCAGCAAAUCAAAACCCAAUUCAGCAGAGGGAUGAUUUUCGCCUUCCGGAAGAUGAAAUCACGAAAGCUCAGAGACGGCGCGCACUCCGUAGAAAGCCCAAAUCAAAUUAUUCUGUGGCCUGUGUAGAUUUCCUGUGCCUGGCACCCAGCUGCCUGCAUACAGGAAGUGCUCAUUACAGGCACAGCAGCAGAUGUCAGCCCCAAAGUGUCCAUUUUACUAGCUGGUGUUUCAGCAUCUGUCACGGGGAUCAACAAAGCAUGACAGCCGCCAAUGUGCCUCCGUGUGGACUUUUGUGAUGCUGUAUUUUCUCUUGAGAGGGGCCCCUGAUUCUGGACAGAAUGCACUGGGUAAGUCUUUACGACUUCGUAGCCCCAGGCUCCUGGCCCAGGCAGGAUGAGGAAAGGAUGCUGCCCCAGGAUCGCCCGAAACGUUUGGUUUGUUUUGUGUGGCUGGACGUGGCCGAGUCCCUGCGGCCCCAGCAGCUCUCAGGCUUCCCUGCCCGGCUGCUGCCUCAGGGCUGCGCUGAGCUCAGGCCAGAGCAGCUUCCAGGGCCUCAUUUCAGUUGUUUUUAUCAUCUAUGAGUUAUCCAGUGUUUCCAAUAAAUCACAUUCCAGGGCAAGCAGUGCAGAGAUGUGGGCCCUUAUUUCCUCUCCCAGGCUGAUAACAAUGAACAAGUGAUUUCCUGUCCAAAGCUGGGUACUCCAGCGAAAUAAGAAGUCCUAUCUCCAGGAAAAUAACACUGUCUCUCUCUCAGCCCCAACUCCAGCACACCAAGCAUGGACCGUCUCUGGCCCUUGGGCAAGCUGGAGCAGCCUUUCAUUUCCUCUCUGCCUAUUCAUGCACGCCCCACCCAUCUCCCAGUCCAGGCUGUGAUCCUCACCACCCAGCAAGCAGGCGAGGCAGGGCUAGGAACCCAUUUUACAGGUGAGAAAAGUGAGUUUGCCAGACAUUAAGUGACAUGGCCAGGGUCUCACCGGCAGUAAGUGGACAGGGCCAGGCCAGGUCGUCUCUGUGUUCCUAGGAGACCCUGUGAUGACCACUCAGCCCCCUCUGCUGCUGCUGGUUGAGGUGAGAGGUGCUUAUAACUCAGAGAUCUUUGUCAUUUGGGUUCUAAAAGCAAACUCCACCUUGUGACGCGCACCCCAAUCCGCCAGCAGCUUCAGAAGCAGCAUCUACCUGUAAGCUGCGCGGUCUCCCUCUCCCAUCUCAACAACCUUCCUGUGUGCGGCUUCCCUCUCGGAUCUGCACAACCCCCUUGUUGAGAAGAGGCAGCAGGAGCAGUGUGGGCGGUCAUUGCCCUAUUUUACAGAUGAAGAGUCAGGGCAUUUAAACAAUUUGGUAUGGAUCUAUACAUAAGAGGGUGGAAGAGGCCAGAGGAGACCUAGACCUACUUAUCUAAAACCCAGUCACUGAUGCUGGGACACAGAACUGUCCUUCCUCGUCUGCCCCCUCCCUGCUCACGCUGUAUUGGUGGAGACCUUGUCUCUCUUGGUGCCGUGGGAACAGCGCUGGGCCCACCCAUCAAGGGCUCCCUGGAAGCGUGCUGAGCGUGUGGCAUGAGGAAAGAGUCACCAGCCACCCACGUUGCCUCCACACUGGGUGUCAUUGUGACCUUAGCAGACAACAGGGUCCUCCCGAGGAGAGAACACAGUAGGCACACUGGAUGUGGGGAGAGGGUCCAAAAGCCCCAAGCAGGGGGCAGGUCUGGGCAGAGGAGAAGGCGCUGUGUCUGUGGUGGCACUGGAUGCCUCGGAAGGAUAGCUGUGAUUAGAACACGUGUGUAAAGCGCCUGUCAUGGCAGCGUCCUUCUCCUGGCGGCAAGUCUUCACUUGCAAAACAAGUCCUUUUAGGAACAGGCUUUGUGACAGCUGCUGCUAUCCAGUCAUCUUUAGAGCCCUGGAGUCCUCGCCAAGGGCACGGGCUCCCUUUGUGGUCCUGGAAUAAUGGGGCCUGCCUGGCACUCUCAGAUUGCGUGGGGAUCCGCUGGACUUAGGGUUCUACUGAUGAAUUCAUUUAACUUUGACCUGGGAAGAAAAGUCAUAAAUUCACAUCCAUGAACAGGAGGAGAAGAAGGGGAACUGCUAUAGAGACUGCACAGUGAUGACCCCUGCAUGCAUUUUUCAGUCAACAAGAGCAUCUCGUGACUUCUGAUCACGGUUCCAAGGUCUGUGGGUGCCACGUUUUUUGAGUUUACCGAGACCACAGAUUGGAGACUUCGAAGUGCCCUCCAGGUCCAAGCAGCAGGCCCACCUCGCUGCAGAGACAGGGUCUACAGGAGGGUGUCAUUUUAGUCAGAACGGCAGAGCCAUGGAUAACACUCAGUCCUAUUAUGGAGCUGGACCCGGAACCCAGAAACUCAGAAAAGUUAAGUGAUUUGUGAGUAACAUCCACAUGGAGCCGCUGGAACUGAACUCAAAUACAGGUUUAACCUUGGCAUUAGCUAAGUGACUGCUGUGGUUUGGAUAAGAUAUUUUUGUCCCCACCAAAUCUCAUGCUGAAAUGGGACCCCAGUGUGGCAGUGUUGGGAGAUGGUCCUGGUGGGAGGUGUUUGGGUCAUGGGGGCAGAGCCGUUGUGAAGAGCUUCAUGCCAUUGUUCUAUUAGCAGAGAGUGAGUUCUUGCUCUCUCAAGACUGGAUUGGUUCUUGGGGGGAUGGAUUAGUUCCCGAGAGUGGGUUGUGAUAAAGCCCAGACACCCCUCAUAUUUAGUCCUUCUUGGCACCUUCCCACCGCCCAUUUGACCUUCUCCACCAUGUUUUGACACAGCAUGAAAGCCCGCACCAGAAGCCGAGCAGAUGCCAGCAUCAGGCUUCUUGUACAGCCUGCAGAUUCAUGGGCUAAAUAAACCUCCUUUCUUUAUAAAUUACCCAGGCUCAGGUAUUCCUUCAUAGCAACACAGAGGGACUAAGCAGUGGCCUAGAGCAAGCCAUAUAGAUUCAUUUAGCUUCAGCCUCUGCAGCUGUAAUGUGGGCCUAAUAAGAGUGCAGAAGUUAAAGGACUGUGCAAGAUUCAGAGAGAAUACAUGUAUGCCACCCAACCUACAGUGGCACGGGGUGGACUCUCAAUAAAUGGGAAUCACUACUGAAACACUGUAUACUACUACUAUUCUCGUUGCCUAAGGUAUUUUAGUUACCUAUACUUAUUAGUUUUGCAAUGAACAAUAUACCAAUUUGUUCAGAUCAGAAUCAUCCUUGGGUGAAAGACGGUUGGGAAACAGGAUAUUGACAUGUUCUUAGUGUAUUUCCCCUCAAGUCACUUAUUAUUUACAAGGAGAAAAUAACACCUUUAACUUAGAGAUAUCUGGUGGUUAUCACCUUAACUGAGUGAUAAAACUUACAUCCCCAGUAAUGGGACAGUCUUCUACGUACUUCCUAAAGGGAUAUGUGGAAAAAGAUAUGAUGUUGCUUGUAUAGUGUUCUUGCCAAAAAUAGUUAGCCUGAAUUGAAUUGUGAGAAAGCAAUCGAAGUCCAACAAUGAGAGAUCCUGCAAAACAACUGGCCCAGGCUUCCGAAGUGUUAGAAUAAAGGAAGGCAAAGAAAGGUAGUGAAAUUAUCUUAGAUUAAAGGAUGCCAAAGAGGUAUGAUAAUAAACGCAGUACAGGGGACUUUGGAAAAUUAGGACAUGGACUGAAUAUUAAAUAAUAUCUCCAUGUCAAUGUUAUGUUUUCUGAGUAUAAUAAGGGCAUUUGGUUAUACAGGAGCGUGUCCUUGUUUGAAGAAGAUACAUACUGAAGUAUUUAGGAGUAAGAGUCAUGAUACAUGAAACUCCUUUUCAAAUGGUUCAGCCAAAAGGAGUGUGUGUGUGUAUACAACAUGUAGAGAGAGUUGUUUAAAGCAGAUGGGGUAAGAAAGGUAAGAUUACAUACGGUUCUGAUAUGAUACCAAUUAUAUUUGUGAUAUAACU
rnacentral:lncRNA from 1 species